GAUGAACGCUGGCGGCGUGCUUAACACAUGUAAGUCGAGCGAGUGAGUUCUUCGGAACGAUCUAGCGGCGGACGGGUGAGUAACACGUGGGCAACCUGCCUCAUAGAGGGGAAUAGCCUCCCGAAAGGGAGAUUAAUACCGCAUAACAUCGUUGAAGGGCAUCCUUCGAUGAUCAAAGGAGCAAUCCGCUAUGAGAUGGGCCCGCGGCGCAUUAGCUAGUUGGUGAGGUAACGACUCACCAAGGCGACGAUGCGUAGCCGACCUGAGAGGGUGAUCGGCCACAUUGGGACUGAGACACGGCCCAGACUCCUACGGGAGGCAGCAGUGGGGAAUAUUGCACAAUGGGGGAAACCCUGAUGCAGCAACGCCGCGUGAGUGAUGACGACCUUCGGGUUGUAAAGCUCUGUCUUUGGGGACGAUAAUGACGGUACCCAAGGAGGAAGUCACGGCUAACUACGUGCCAGCAGCCGCCGUAA
rnacentral:rRNA from 1 species